CAAUAGCGUAUAUUAAAGUUGUUGCAGUUAAAAAGCUCGUAGUUGGAUUUCUGGAUGGAGCGACCGGUCGGGCAUUAAUUUGUCUGCACUGGAGUCGGUUCCGUCCAUCCUCCUGGAAAGUGCGUCGGGCAUUAAGUUGUUUGGCGUAUGAUCCAAGUCGUUUACUGUGAAAAAAUUAGAGUGUUUAAAGCAGGCCUUCGCCUUGAAUACAUUAGCAUGGAAUAAUAAGAUAGGACUUUGGUCUACUUUGUUGGUUUGCAGACCGAAGUAAUGAUUAAUAGGGAUAGUUGGGGGUAUUUAUAUUCCGAUGUCAGAGGUGAAAUUCUUAGAUUUUCGGAAGAUAAACUUAUGCGAAAGCAUUUACCAAGGAUGUUUUCAUUAA
rnacentral:rRNA from 1 species